GUGUGAAGAAGGGCUGUGGCGUGGAACCUAAGGCUAUGGGCAUUUGGAUGUGGGGAAGGCUUAUUGAUUAAAAGAUGGAGGCCUUGGGGUGUUAUUUAUAGAGUAGGGAGUGGGCUUCUAGAAUUUGGAGAUGUGAGUUAAGAAAGAAAAGAGUGUGGGCGCAUGAGAGAGAGGCUUGGGCAGCACUAGGGUUUUGUGCGUGAAAGAAAAGGAGCGUAGAGCUUUUUGUUUUGGCAUGUAAGAAAUAAAAGAGAGGGCUAGGUGUAUGUAAGAAAAAAAGAAUGCAAAAGAUAGGGUGCAUGAGAUAUUUAGUAGCAUGGAAAAAUAGAGGAGAGGAGG
rnacentral:lncRNA from 1 species